UACGGAGACUGCAAGCGUUACUCGGAAUCACUGGGCGUAAAGGGUGCGUAGGCGGUUGGGUGUGACUGACGUGAAAUCCCAAGGCUUAACCUUGGAACUGCGUUGGUUCCUACCCAUCUAGAGUAUCGGAGAGGCAGGCGGAAUUCCCGGAGUAGCGGUGAAAUGCGUAGAUAUCGGGAAGAACACCGAAAGCGAAGGCAGCCUGCUGGACGAUUACUGACGCUGAGGCACGAAAGCGCGGGUAGCAAAAGGG
rnacentral:rRNA from 1 species